rnacentral:rRNA from 1 species
CUGAGAGGAUGACCAGCCACACUGGAACUGAGACACGGUCCAGACUCCUACGGGAGGCAGCAGUGGGGAAUAUUGCACAAUGGGCGCAAGCCUGAUGCAGCCAUGCCGCGUGUAUGAAGAAGGCCUUCGGGUUGUAAAGUACUUUCAGCGGGGAGGAAGGGAGUAAAGUUAAUACCUUUGCUCAUUGACGUUACCCGCAGAAGAAGCACCGGCUAACUCCGUGCCAGCAGCCGCGGUAAUACGGAGGGUGCAAGCGUUAAUCGGAAUUACUGGGCGUAAAGCGCACGCAGGCGGUUUGUUAAGUCAGAUGUGAAAUCCCCGGGCUCAACCUGGGAACUGCAUCUGAUACUGGCAAGCUUGAGUCUCGUAGAGGGGGGUAGAAUUCCAGGUGUAGCGGUGAAAUGCGUAGAGAUCUGGAGGAAUACCGGUGGCGAAGGCGGCCCCCUGGACGAAGACUGACGCUCAGGUGCGAAAGCGU